UAGUGAAACCGCGAAUGGCUCAUUAAAUCAGUUAUAAUCUAAUUGGUUACCAUAACACAAGGAUAACUGCGGUAACCCUGCAGCUAAUACUUGAAGUUUCUUUAGGGCUCAGAUCACGUUUCUGUUCACCUUUAGAACUUUUAUUAGAGUAACCGGCGUACAGUUCUGUGCGUAUACGCGUGAGGAAUUCUGAAUAACUGAAGGAUGCCUAAAGCCAAGAGCUGGGCACGAACCAUAUGAGUUUCUGACCUAUCAACUUCUGACGGUAGUGUAACGGACUACCGUGGUUGUAACGGGUAACGGGGAAUCAGGGUUCGAUUCCGGAGAGGGAGCCUGAGAAACGGCUACCACAUCCACGGAAGGCAGCAGGCGCGCAAAUUACCCAAUCUCGGUACGAGGAGGUAGUGACGAAAAAUAACAAUAUGAAACCUUACGGUUUUGUGAUUGGAAUGAGAGAAAUUUAACAACUUUCUUCGAGGAUCUAGUGGAGGGCAAGUCUGGUGCCAGCAGCCGCGGUAAUACCAGCAUCCACAAGCGUAUGC
rnacentral:rRNA from 1 species